UGGGGAAUAUUGGACAAUGGGCGCAAGCCUGAUCCAGCCAUGCCGCGUGAGUGAUGAAGGCCCUAGGGUUGUAAAGCUCUUUCACCGGUGAAGAUAAUGACGGUAACCGGAGAAGAAGCCCCGGCUAACUUCGUGCCAGCAGCCGCGGUAAUACGAAGGGGGCUAGCGUUGUUCGGAUUUACUGGGCGUAAAGCGCACGUAGGCGGACUAUUAAGUCAGGGGUGAAAUCCCGGGGCUCAACCCCGGAACUGCCUUUGAUACUGGUAGUCUUGAGUUCGAGAGAGGUGAGUGGAAUACCGAGUGUAGAGGUGAAGUUCGUAGAUAUUCGGAGGAACACCAGUGGCGAAGGCGGCUCACUGGCUCGAUACUGACGCUGAGGUGCGAAAGCGUGGGGAGCAAACAGG
rnacentral:rRNA from 1 species